rnacentral:rRNA from 1 species
GCGUAAAGCGCACGCAGGCGGUCUGUUAAGUCAGAUGUGAAAUCCCCGGGCUUAACCUGGGAACUGCAUUUGAAACUGGCAGGCUUGAGUCUCGUAGAGGGGGGUAGAAUUCCAGGUGUAGCGGUGAAAUGCGUAGAGAUCUGGAGGAAUACCGGUGGCGAAGGCGGCCCCCUGGACGAAGACUGACGCUCAGGUGCGAAAGCGUGGGGAGCAAACAGGAUUAGAUACCCUGGUAGUCCACGCCGUAAACGAUGUCGACUUGGAGGUUGUGCCCUUGAGGCGUGGCUUCCGGAGCUAACGCGUUAAGUCGACCGCCUGGGGAGUACGGCCGCAAGGUUAAAACUCAAAUGAAUUGACGGGGGCCCGCACAAGCGGUGGAGCAUGUGGUUUAAUUCGAUGCAACGCGAAGAACCUUACCUGGCCUUGACAUCCAGAGAACUUAGCAGAGAUGCUUUGGUGCCUUCGGGAACUCUGAGACAGGUGCUGCAUGGCUGUCGUCAGCUCGUGUUGUGAAAUGUUGGGUUAAGUCCCGCAACGAGCGCAACCCUUAUCCUUUGUUGCCAGCGGCUCGGCCGGGAACUCAAAGGAGACUGCCGGUGAUAAACCGGAGG